GCCUUUCAUUCAUAAAUCAGAUAAAGAUUUGCGGUUUUUAACCGACUAAAGCAGCUUCCAAUGUCUUCCAUUUUUAAUUUUUUGUUUACAAUUACAGUGAUAGUAUGAUUCACUUAAAAGGAGAGCAUGAAUAGCCGGUACAUAAGCCAUUAGCGCUAUCGUAGGGAAACAAAGAAACAGGUCUACUUGGUGGCAACUCAGGAGUUGCCAUUUCCAAGCUCAAGAAACCCACCACUUCCUCCAUAGAAGGCCUACCUUUACUCUCAUUUAGUGUACAAAGCAAUCCAAUCUCCAAUACUCUUAUUGCCUGUUCCAAGUUCACCACCGAGCCCAUCCUUCUAUCCACUAUUCUCGAUUUCUCAUCUGUCUCGUGCAUUCUCCAUGCAAAAUCUACCAAGUCCUUCUCUUCUUGGCUCACUUCACUGUCCAACCUACCUCUCCCUGACACCACUUCCAGCACAAAAAUGCCGAACUCAAACACAUCAGCCUUUUGACUCACCGCUGCUUCGAAACGCCUUGACUCCGUGUGGGAAAGCACGAAACCGAAGUCGCCCAAAGCUGCCCUGAAGCUAACAUCAAGAAAGACACUACUGGCUUUCAUGUUCUUAUGAGCAAGGUGCCUAGAGUGGAGGAAACUGAGAGCAUCAGCGACGUCUUUCACCACCUUAAACCGCCGAGUCCAGGGAAGCACGCCAACUCCGAACAACCACUUAUCUAAGCUUCCAUUUGGAUAGAAUUCGUACAAAACCAUAGUUUCUCGAUUGUCCUGACACCAUCCUCUAAUGGGAACCAAAUUGGGGUGACGAACUCGGCUCAUGGCACUGAUUUCUUUGAGUAAUCUUCGCCUAUCUAAUCCCAGCUGUGAGUUCAAAAAUUGAGCCGAGAAACGUUUGACGGCCACUUGGCAACCAUUUGAAAGCUUCCCUCUGUAGUAAAUACUUCUGGAGUCGCUACCCAGUAUUUCCAACUCAUGGAAGCACCGAGUGGCUGUGGAAACUUCAGGAAAGGUGAAGCGGCUGGGUUUAUUGGGAGGCCUCGGCCUUUGCUUUUUGUCUGGAAGAGCCACGGUCUGGGACUGAUCAUUUCUGCGCCUGCCAAAGAAAAGAUCUCGCACGUUUCCACAGAUGGCAUAAGAAGCGAGGCUUGGCUGGUGGAGGUGAAGUUCCACGAGAAUAUACUGUGGAUUUGGGUCAAAUUCCCUGUGGAAGCCGAGAAUCCUAUAAACAUGUAUUCAUUGAGAAAGGGAGAGAGAUCAAGAGAACCCGAGAAGAUUGGUUUGGAUCCCAGGUGUAUAUCCAUCCAGCGGCGAGGACCAUCAUAUGCAAUCCAAGCUUGGUGAACCGAGCCAUCCUUGAGGGAGAUACCAACAUCAGAAGCAUUAACAGUCGAUGUAGAAAUGAUGCUGCCAAGAUUGAUUCCAACAUGGUUGUCAUUUGGGUCUCCAAAUUCUGGAUUCUGACGGUUGUCAAAUUCAAUAGCUACUGCUUUGUAGUUGUCCUCACAAGCAUCAUUAAGCAUAGCUAGCCAAGGUCCAGGCCUACCCACAGUGAAUUCAUCAGGGACUAUAAUGAAGGCAAGGCCACUGCCUCCGCCAGUGGAAGAAACAUUGGAGGAGUUGACAUGAGUAGUAAUGGAGUUACUAAACCGAAAAGAAAAUGAGGUCUCGAAGGAAGCAGGAGUUCUAGUGAAUGGAUCAAGAAGACGGAUUGGAAAAGAGUAGAUGGCUCGGCCAGCUUGAUGUCUUAGAUCAGUAACUUGGGAUUCAUCUGGAAUUUGGAUGGCACCGUUUUCAUCUGACAACUUGGCACUGCCUAGAAGCUUAAUCUCAUUUAUAAUUCCAGGUUCAUACAACCUGAAAUAUGGGAAGGAGAGAUGCUUGGUCACGUUAAUUAAAGGCCCAAUCUGCCUCCUCGCACCAGCUGAUGAUGCUUCAACUAAAGAUGGGCAUAAUUCUAUAAUCGCUACCAGGUAAGCUAAUGACCAAAACAAAGAGAAGCAGCAAUAGUAGAACCCCAUUAAACGUAACCCAAAGAAGAAAAAUAGUUGAAGAACAGAAAUCGCCUAGUGCGAUUUUCUAGCUAAGCUAAUGUGGAUAAGAAUUGAACAAAAUUCAAAUACAAGGUCGUUCAAUAAUGAAAUCUUCUCAUCUUCUGAUAAUGGAGGAGACCAACACGUACCUGAAUAAUCGCUCUCCACUCCUCUAAAGCACUUAUGCAAUUAUUGUAUGUAGUUUGUCCGUAUUUGAAACAAACCCA
rnacentral:misc_RNA from 1 species